CUUUUUCCUACCGGGUACUGCGGAAGGAGCAAAAAAAAGGUCAUGCCAGAAGGGUAGACCUCCCACCCUUGUGUAUUAUUACUUUGUUGCUUUGGCGAGCUGCCUUCGGGCCUUGUAUGCUCGCCAGAGAAUACCAAAACUCUUUUUAUUAAUGUCGUCUGAGUACUAUAUAAUAGUUAAAACUUUCAACAACGGAUCUCUUGGUUCUGGCAUCGAUGAAGAACGCAGCGAAAUGCGAUAAGUAAUGUGAAUUGCAGAAUUCAGUGAAUCAUCGAAUCUUUGAACGCACAUUGCGCCCCUUGGUAUUCCGGGGGGCAUGCCUGUUCGAGCGUCAUUUCAACCCUCAAGCUUAGCUUGGUAUUGAGUCUAUGUCAGUAAUGGCAGGCUCUAAAAUCAGUGGCGGCGCCGCUGGGUCCUGAACGUAGUAAUAUCUCUCGUUACAGGUUCUCGGUGUGCUUCUGCCAAAACCCAAAUUUUUCUAUGGUGACCUCGGAUCAGGUAGGGACAACCGAGGAACUUAAGCAUAUCAUAUCGGGAAGAAAGC
rnacentral:rRNA from 1 species